UACGUAGGUGGCAAGCGUUGUCCGGAAUUAUUGGGCGUAAAGGGCGCGCAGGCGGCCGAGCACGUCCGUUGUGAAAUCGCCUGGCUCAACUGGGCGGGGUCAGCGGAUACGGCUAGGCUGGAGCAAGCUAGGGGGCAAUGGAAUUCCCGGUGUAGUGGUGGAAUGCGUAGAUAUCGGGAGGAACACCAGUGGCGAAAGCGGCUUACUGGAUCGAAUCUGACGCUGAGGUGCGAAAGCUAGGGUAGCAAACGGG
rnacentral:rRNA from 1 species